rnacentral:rRNA from 1 species
GUAGGGUCCGAGCGUUGUCCGGAAUUAUUGGGCGUAAAGGGCUCGUAGGCGGUUUGUCGCGUCGGGAGUGAAAACAUCGGGCUUAACUCGAUGCUUGCUUUCGAUACGGGCAGACUUGAGGUAUGCAGGGGAGAACGGAAUUCCUGGUGUAGCGGUGAAAUGCGCAGAUAUCAGGAGGAACACCGGUGGCGAAGGCGGUUCUCUGGGCAUGACCUGACGCUGAGGAGCGAAAGUGUGGGGAGCGAACAGGAUUAGAUACCCUGGUAGUCCACACCGUAAACGUUGGGCGCUAGGUGUGGGACCUAUUCCAUGGGUUCCGUGCCGUAGCUAACGCAUUAAGCGCCCCGCCUGGGGAGUACGGCCGCAAGGCUA